AUGGAGGUGCUUGACCUUUCCCGUAACCAAUUGGUCGGCACUGUCCCAUCAUGGAUUGGUAGGCUUGACCACCGUUGCUACUUGGAUCUCUCCAACAAUACAUUGGUUGGCGAGGUACCCAAGAGUUCUAAGGGCCUCAACACUACUAGAUGUUCACCGGACAUUGAUUUCACUAACAUGUCACUGUAUCUGAAACGUAGCGGAAGAAGUAGACAUCGCCGACAACAUAAACAUGCCCCAAAUGUCAUAGCUGGGACCAACAACAUUGUCAGAUCUGGUAGCAACAACGUUCUGGCUGGGAACGACAACACUAUAAUUUUUGGGAAUGACAACGCCGUAUCUGGGAGCUACCAGGUCGUAUAUGGGAAUAACCAUGUCGUAACUGGGAGCAACCAUGCCGCAUCUGGGAGCAACCAUGCCGCAUCUGGGAGCUACCAUGUCGUGAUUGGGAAACACAAUAUCAUAUCCGGGACUCACAAUGACGUAGGUGGGAGCAAAAAUAUCGUAUCCGGUAGUAAAAAUGUUGUAUCUGGGAGCCAUAAUACCGUGUCCGGGAAGAACCAUUUCGUAACUGGGCACAACAAAGUCGUAACCUGA
rnacentral:rRNA from 1 species